rnacentral:rRNA from 1 species
GAUGAACGCUGGCGGCGUGCCUAAUACAUGCAAGUCGAGCGAACGGACGAGAAGCUUGCUUCUCUGAUGUUAGCGGCGGACGGGUGAGUAACACGUGGAUAACCUACCUAUAAGACUGGGAUAACUUCGGGAAACCGGAGCUAAUACCGGAUAAUAUUUUGAACCGCAUGGUUCAAAAGUGAAAGACGGUCUUGCUGUCACUUAUAGAUGGAUCCGCGCUGCAUUAGCUAGUUGGUAAGGUAACGGCUUACCAAGGCAACGAUGCAUAGCCGACCUGAGAGGGUGAUCGGCCACACUGGAACUGAGACACGGUCCAGACUCCUACGGGAGGCAGCAGUGGGGAAUCUUCCGCAAAGGGCGAAAGCCUGACGGAGCAACGCCGCGUGAGUGAUGAAGGUCUUCGGAUCGUAAAACUCUGUUAUUAGGGAAGAACAUAUGUGUAAGUAACUGUGCACAUCUUGACGGUACCUAAUCAGAAAGCCACGGCUAACUACGUG